rnacentral:lncRNA from 1 species
AGAACCUGGGACAGAGGAAGAAAGAGAAUCUCAAGGAGACCUCCUGCUGAGCACAGAACCUGAUACAGGGCUCAAUCUAAGGAUCCUGACAUCAUGACCUGAGCCAAACCAAGAGUUGGGCACUCAACCACGUCCCCCAGGUGCCCCCUUGGUUGUCCUUUCACAUUUAAAAUUAAUGCAUUAGGGGCACCUGGCUAGAGUAGAUCAGUAGAGCAUGCAACUAUCGAUCUUGGGGUGGUGAGUUCAAGCCCCACACUGAGAUUACUUUUAAAUAAAUAAAAAAACAAAGUGUAAAAUGACUGCAUUAAAAAGCUAACUAAAAGUGCAAGGAUGGCAGGUGCUUGUCAAUUGGUGCCCCUGACUGCAUAGUGAAAGAGUAGGAAGUCAGUUUUUCUUCUGGGGAGCACUUCCAUAAUUCAUUAUCUUUGUUAGCUUCUUUCCCUUACAAAUAGCCACAAAAUUGCAAUGGCACAUAACACAAGCAUGUAUUUUUUGCUUCUGUAGGCUGGAUUCUGCUGGGCUUGAUUCUAGGCCUCACAUUAGUUUCAGGUCUGCUCCACAUGUCUCUCAUCUUCCUUAGACCAGUGUCUAUCCAUGGUUUAUUUGUCUCAUGGUGAAAAACAGGAAACCAAGAGAGCAAAGCAACCAUGCAAGCCUAUUUUAAGUUUCUGUUCAUUUCAUGCUGGCUAACAGGGCCAAGCAAUUCACGUGGCCCAACUCAAAGUAAGGGGUGAGGGGGUACACUCUACCUACCAUGAAACACAAGAACUCCUUAUACAGGAGUUAAGAAUUGGGACUAAUAACCCAAUCUAAUAUUCUAAAUCUUUUAUCUCAGGCCAUUCAGUGUUUCCCAAAAACAGUACUCCAAUCUACUCUCAGGCCUGAACACACCAGGCUAUAGGUGUUAUCAGGUGCAGGUAGGGGAAAGAGAUUAGGGCUCUCCUUGACCAGUGACAGCAGUCUGUUCUUUUCUCUCCCCAUUUGUCAUCUAGCCCUUACGACUGUUCUCACUGCUGCUUUACAUGUGCUUAGUGUUCCUUAGUCCUGAAUUUCUCGGGUUCAAUUCCUCCAGAAUACACCUCCUAUAUAUUGUGAAAGUGAAGGAGGAAGACUUGCCUUAUUGCUUGAGGUGGUGUUGGUGUAAAUGGUUUUUGUAAAGACUCAAAUUAACCUUGUUCUCAUCCUGGUCUUCUGAGGUGUUAUUUCCAGUCUCCCUCAUUAGUUUUUCCUUCUUCAGGUGCU